rnacentral:rRNA from 1 species
UAAUACCAGCCCCGCGAGUGGUCGGGGUGUUUAUUGGGCCUAAAGCGGCCGUAGCCGGCCCGGUAAGUCCUCCCUGAAAGCCCUAGGCUCAACCUGGGGAGCGGGAGGAUACUGCCGGGCUAGAGGGCGGGAGAGGCCGAGGGUACUCCCGGGGUAGGGGCGAAAUCCUGUAAUCCCGGGAGGACCACCAGUGGCGAAGGCGCUCGGCUGGAACGCGCCUGACGGUGAGGGCCNAAAGCCGGGGGAGCGAACCGGAUUAGAUACCCGGGUAGUCCCGGCUGUAAACGAUGCGGGCUAGGUGUUAGGCGGGCGGGAGAGCCCGCCUAGUACCGCAGGGAAGCCGNUNNUNNUCGCCGCCUGGGGAGUACGGCCGCAAGGCUGAAACUUAAAGGAAUUGGCGGGGGAGCACACAAGGGGUGGAGCCUGCGGCUUAAUUGGAGUCAACGCCGGG